rnacentral:rRNA from 1 species
UACGUAGGGUGCGAGCGUUAAUCGGAAUUACUGGGCGUAAAGGGCGCGUAGGCGGCCUCUUUAGUCAGACGUGAAAUCCCCCGGCUUAACCUGGGAACUGCGUCUGAUACUGGGAGGCUAGAGUUCGGGAGAGGGAUGUAGAAUUCCAGGUGUAGCGGUGAAAUGCGUAGAUAUCUGGAGGAACACCGGUGGCGAAGGCGACAUCCUGGACCGGUAUUGACGCUGAGGCGCGAAAGCCAGGGGAGCAAACGGG